rnacentral:ribozyme from 14 species
UUAUUAGGAAUUAUCAGUAGCAUAUUGUUUUUUUUUUUCUUUUAUCAUUACAUUAUUUUUUCUCGGUACUAUUUAUACUUGUGACGACGCAAAAAGGGAGAAGCAGUAUUGGUUGGUUGAGGGGCAGGGAGAAAUGAUACAAAAAAUGAAGCAGCAGCAUUUUUUUUUUUUUUUUUUUUUUUUGGUCACCAUGUA